CUCUAUUUUAGUGGUGCUCAAUGAAUAUGAAUUCUUCCUGCGCUAUCAAAUGAUUAAUAGGAUAUAAAUGCAAUGAUCAGACAGUUGUCAUUUGCAUCUUUCACACUCAAGUUGUUUCGCCGUCUCCUGGAAUUUCUCAUGAAAAAUUAUAAACCUUGGCUGGUGCACAAUGUGUUACAAGGGCAGAAGCUAUGAAAGGCCCUGGAGACAUCUCCAUUUUGCCUCUUUCCUGCUCUGAUCUCUGGAUUAUGGAUUUAUACAAGUGGGAGCAUUCUAACCAAGGGACUGAGGAUCUUCCAAUCAUUUGAGAGCAACCAGAGACUGAACCAGUGAUGGCAUAAACUUCUUCAAGCCUGAUCCAAGAACUCUUUGCAACACUAAAGCUUACCACCUCUACUAUGAUACUGGCCUCAAAA